CUCAUUGUCUUUAACAUGCGUGAUAGCUUGGUCAAGGAGUUAGGGGAUGGAUUCAAGCCCAAGGUACGUAUACAAUUAUAAUAAUCAAUGAUUUAUUUUUUUUAUUUAAAUUAUGUAAUAAACUCCAUUAAACUUUUUUUUUUCUUUUCUUAUACAGAAUUUGACGAUAAUGACUUUCUAUGGUUGUAAAUUCUUAAAAAAUAUUCCUGAUCUUUCAAGCAUCUCAAAUUUGAAACAAUUGAUUGUCCAAUAUUGUAAAAGAUUAGUUGAGGUGCAUGAUUCGGUUAGAUCUUUGAAAAAUCUUUCCAGGUUGGAUUUUGAUGGAUGCUCUAAACUCCAAAUUCUUCCAAGAAGCCUUAAGUUGAGAUCUUUAUUUGAGCUUAAUCUUGGGAGUUGCUCAAGCCUCAGUGAUUUUCCUGAAAUCGAGUGUAAAAUGGAAUGUUUAAGGACAUUGAGUUUAUAUAGCACUGCAGUAGAAGAACUCCCUUCAUCAAGAACCUCGUUGGACUUGAGACAUUAAAUCUAUUGGAUUGCAAAAACCUUAUGCUUCUCCCAAUUGCUUCCAUCCCGUUGAAAUAUUUACACUUCUUUUGUAUGGGUGGACAUGAUUCCGUUGAUCUGCCUAAUGAUUCUACAACAAUGGAAGAUGAGAUAUCAAAUUCAAGAAAUGGGAGCACUGCAUUACAAGUACCGAAUAUUCAAAUUAGUUGUUCCCAAUCAGAAUCAAAUUUCUUUCCACUAUGUAGUUUAUUUGCCAUGUUUAAUUCCUCGGCCACUUUGGAUUUGUUAUCUCUAUUGGGACUUGAAAUUGUUAGCCUUCCCAAGAGCAUCAAAGAAUCCGUUACACUAACUAAUCUUACCUUGGCCUGUUGUUGUAAACUUGAAGAAAUACCAGAGCUUCCACCAAAUAUAAGACAAGUAGAUGCUAGGGGAUGCAAGUCAUUAAAAAUAUUUCCGGAAGUAUCAAAAAUAUUAGAAUUCAAUAGAAGCCACAUCAAAUCGCUAGGAAGAAUCGAAUUGAGCGGCUGCUACAAAAUGCAUGAGAAUAUAUGGAAUGAUAAAGUGCAAAAUGCUUUAUUAUUGUGGAAGGUAUGUCUUUGCGAUCUCAUUUUUAAUAGUAUGCAUGCAUGACUGAAAUUAAAUUGAUAAUGAUGAUGAUGAUAUUGGUUUAACAGGGAGAAUAUGGUUAUGAUGCUACUUUGUUUUCGGAAAAUCAAUUGAGUUACUUUCAUGAUUUUUUAAAAGUUAAAGAAAUGGUAAAGUGGCCUGAUGACGAAGAAGAGUUUGCAAUAGAUACCGAGAGGCCGCGGCCUUGGAAGACGAUAAAAGGAUUUUUCUUAAUGGUUGGUGUUUCAGGCGGAAAGAGUGAUAUUGAUGAUGCUACAGUUGAUGCUACUAGUCUGGAAAAAGAAGAGUGGGUAAUAGAUAUUGAGGGGCCGCACUAUUUGGAGGAGAUAAGUGGAAUUGUAUUAUAUGUCGUAAUAUUUUUUAAAGAAGAUGUUUCAAUCUGGGAUGAUACUGAUAUUGUUGAUACUAAAAUAACUACUAAGAUAACCACUAACAGCUCAAAUCAUGUAUGCCGUAUUCAAGAAGAGGUGCGAUUGGUUAAUAGUGGUUUCCACAAAAAGGAAAAUAGGACUGGAUAUUUUGUAUGGGUGGGGUGCUCCAAUUUACAAUCUUUUGAACUUAAGGUUUUGGACAAUCUGCUAGUUCAAUUUUAUCCCAGUUAUCGUGGGAUGGUGCCGUUUUAUAAAAGUUACAGAGCUAAAGUGGUAUACAAGAAUGAAAGGAGAGCAAAUAAAAAAAAAUAGAUGAAGCCGAUCUUGCAAAAACUCCUGAUCAACAGCAAUUCAAUUAAUGAUAACCCCAGGUUGCAUGUGCAUUGAGAAAGAGGACAACCACAUUGAUUGUGAAGAAUAUUAUUUCGUAGAUUUUAAUAAUCUCGCCUUUCUAGGAUGCUUAUUUGCAUUGCUUUGGGCUAUCUUUGUUAAAUCGCCUGCCCCCGUUGUUGCUGUUUCUUUGGAAUUUCAGGGACCUGUUCCAGAUAAGGUGGUGAAGGACUAUGAUGAUCCAAAGGUAGAUUUGGAGUUAGAGCUUCGACUUGUUUGAGAUGGAUGAAUGGCAUGUAUGUUUAUAAGAGCUGAAUCUUAAGACCACUACACUAUUGCUACUGUCAUCCAUCUCUCUCUCUCUCUCUCUCUCUCUCUCUCUCUCUGGUUAUUUAUAAGAUUGAACAAUUUGGAGGUAACCGUCAAUCUUGCCAAAAGUGGGGAAAUCUUCAUGCUUAGCUUGUAAGCUUUUCACUUUGGUCAUUUAAUUAUAGCCAUUAGUUUAUUUCUUGCAUGAUGAAUUUAAGUUUUGUCCUGCCCUGAAAAUUUUCUUCUAUAUACUUAUUGCAGCAAGUUUCUGCUAAACACACUUAGUUGAAAAACUAGAAAACACCACUUAUCUCAUUCAAAAACUCCCACUAAGUUGGACAGCAACAUAUACAGAACAACGAAAUAUUGAAACAGACUUAUUUACAUCUUAAAUUUGCAAAAUCAGCUUUUUCUAAUAUCAACCACCCAUACUGCAUCAGGAAGAUUAGACCUAUCCAAACACAGCCCAGAAUUCUCUUUAGCAUCUUCUAUAGCAAAAAAAUCUGCAAUCUGAUUAGUUUCGCUAUAUCCGAAGAUCUUGGUGGGUAAAACUUGACACCAUGCCCAUCUAUACCAAGAAAUUAGAUUUAAAAGAAUACACCCCUCCUUAUUAGCCUUUACAUGUGUAUCUUCCCCCCUCCUAGGACAAUAAGGUAUAGCAUUAAUCUGAGAUGCCAAAUCUGAUCCUAAAUGGUCCUGUAAUUUAACCAAAUUCCACCCAGAUGAAGGCAUGACCUCUUAAGUUUCAAACCUUCUUGCCAACCACAUAAACUUUUUAAGCCAUCAAUAUUUGAUGGCUGCUGCUUCUUUGAAGGAUUCGGGUGUUUGGAUCUGAAAAAGACGGGUCAUAACGAGCAUCGAGCUCCCAUAUAUAAAAUUUCAUGCUGACUUCAUGUGUAAUGCUCUCUUUAUUUCAUUAAACUCCCUCACACCCAAUCCUCUCUCAUUAAUAGGGUGACAUACUUUUCCCAAGCAACCCAUUUUUUCUUUACCUUCUCUAUCUCCCCAAAGAGAAAAAGUCUGAGCAUGGUAACAAACCUCAAAACUAAUUUGGGCACAUUCAGAACCGAGAGCAAAUGAAUUGGCAUGCUUGAUAAAACAUGCUUAAUCAAGACCAAUUUUCCCCCAUUAGACGAGAACUUUGACUUCCAACCAGCAAGCUUAUUCCUUAAUUUCCCUUACAGAAGCUCCAACAUUGUUCCUUUUAAUGAGAAUAGGUACAUCAAGAUACGUAAAAGGAAACAGAUUAUCCUUAAAAAACCAGUUUCAUCCAGCAUAAUAUGUUUCCUAGAAACAAAAGCAUUUUUUCCUUCCACUUACUCAAUACUUCAGAUAAACCAUUCCAGGAUUUAUUGGAUUGAUUAAGGAAGAUAACAAUGUCGUCAGUGUAUAAAAGAAAAACCAAAGGCCAAACAUAUCCAUAAAAUUCUCCAUUCAAGUCUACCAUAAGCUUUUUCCAUGUCCAUUUUAACCAUCAAAUUGCAUCCUUUUUACUUUUUUAUUGAGACUAAGAGCGAAUUCAUGAGCAAGAGCUAUAUUAUCAAAGAUACUCCAACCUUUAAUAAAGGUUCCUUGCACCUAGAAAGGUGCAAGUCUAUUCACCAUAUAUAUAUAACUUAAAAAAACUUCCACACCAGAUAUAUCUUAUAACCCUUUUAUCAGUCUAAAAUUCUGACCCCAACAAAAACUCAUGAGCAGCUUCACGUUUUAAAUUCUAGCUGUACAGCACAUAUACGAUCGUAGCCACUGAAUGAACUGGAAUCUCAUUUCCUGUCUAAUCAUGUCAUGCUGAAUUUAAAAGAAAAUUCUAGUACUUUCUGUGUCCUUUAGACCAAAUUGAUCAAGUACCAACUCGAACAUCAUUUUUUGGCAAGCAGAUAAUGUUGUUUGAAGAACAUAGAAUUCACAGUUUUGUUCCCUGUAAAGUCAAAAUCCCAUGUCACUUUGAUCGACUUGCAUGUAUAGUUCAUAUCUGACAAACUACAUGUUUGACAUGUUAAAGUUUAUUUUAAUUGAGCUGUAUUUUGUUGCUGUUUUAUUAAUUGACCAUCCAAAAUCAACCUCAUAAUUUAUCAUAAAUAAUUAGCUUCCUUCCUCGAGUGCAUUGGACACUUUAAGAAGAUGUCGAUCAUCUUUGUUUUAUGGCCUGUGACCCAACUUGUCUGCUUUCUUCUUUCUUUUAUUUGUACUAGAGAUUGAGUUGUGCGGCUUCACCUUCUUUUUUUAAUAUGGGGAGAUUCACUUUGCUCUGGUGAGCAGUAAUCAGCCUUACAUACAUUACUUCCUGCAUGUGUUCUGAAGGAACCUCUUCCCCUUCCUCUUCUUCCAUUGAUUGAUAGAGUUACUAUGUAUUCUUGAAUUUUAGAGGUGAAGAUACUCGCACUAAUUUUACUGCUCAUCUAUACAACGCUUUGUGUCAGAAGGGUAUCAAUACUUACAUAGAUGAAGACGAGCUUAGCAGAGGAGAAGAAAUUUCUCCAACUCUUUGCAAAGCUAUUGAAGAGUCGAGAAUUUCCUGUUGGACUUUUUGCUCCUUUGGUUAGUCCCACAUGGGUGGGAAAUGGGAAGGAGCAAGCUCUCAAAGCUUAUAAAUAAGAGGCUUAGCCUCUUAGUUUAAGUGCACUAGUCAAAUGCUUAGCUAGUAACUUUUG